rnacentral:rRNA from 1 species
GACGAACGCUGUCGGCGUGCUUAACACAUGCAAGUCGAACGGAAAGGCCCUGCUUUUGUGGGGUGCUCGAGUGGCGAACGGGUGAGUAACACGUGAGUAACCUGCCCUUGACUUUGGGAUAACUUCAGGAAACUGGGGCUAAUACCGGAUAGGAGCUCCUGCUGCAUGGUGGGGGUUGGAAAGUUUCGGCGGUUGGGGAUGGACUCGCGGCUUAUCAGCUUGUUGGUGGGGUAGUGGCUUACCAAGGCUUUGACGGGUAGCCGGCCUGAGAGGGUGACCGGCCACAUUGGGACUGAGAUACGGCCCAGACUCCUACGGGAGGCAGCAGUGGGGAAUAUUGCACAAUGGGCGGAAGCCUGAUGCAGCAACGCCGCGUGCGGGAUGACGGCCUUCGGGUUGUAAACCGCGUUCGCCUGUGACGAAGCGUGAGUGACGGUAAUGGGUAAAGAAGCACCGGCUAACUACGUG